rnacentral:rRNA from 1 species
GAUGAACGCUAGCGGGAGGCUUAACACAUGCAAGUCGAGGGGCAGCAUGGAGUAGCAAUACUCUGAUGGCGACCGGCAGACGGGUGAGUAACGCGUAUGUAACCUACCCUGUACAGGGGGAUAACCCGGAGAAAUUCGGACUAAUACCCCAUGGAAAUAUUGAGAGGCAUCUUGAGAUAUUUAAAGCUCAGGCGGUACGGGAUGGGCAUGCGGAACAUUAGCUAGUUGGCAGGGUAACGGCCUACCAAGGCUGCGAUGUUUAGGGAACCUGAGAGGGUGAACCCCCACACUGGUACUGAGACACGGACCAGACUCCUACGGGUGGCUG